rnacentral:rRNA from 1 species
UACGUAGGGUGCAAGCGUUGUCCGGAAUUUAUUGGGCGUAAAAGAGCUCGUAGGCGGUUUGUUGCGUCGGCUGUGAAAUCCCGAGGCUCAACCUCGGGUCUGCAGUCGAUACGAGCAAACUAGAGUGUUGCAGGGGAGACUGGAAUUCCUGGUGAUAGCGGUGAAAUGCGCAGAUAUCAGGAGGAACACCGGUGGCGAAGGCGGGUCUCUGGACAGUUCCUGACGCUGAGGCAACGAAGGUCAGGGGAGCAAACGGG